UUGCAAAGAAGAUAGGCAAAAAAAAAUGUUCUUGAUUUGAAAGCAGAAAAAAGAAACCCCCUUUAGCAA
rnacentral:snoRNA from 1 species